rnacentral:piRNA from 1 species
UAGGUAAAGAAUGCAAUGUGAUAGCUGAUU